rnacentral:lncRNA from 1 species
UUCAGAAAAACUCUGGCAUUCUUGGCAGAUGAACAAUGAUCAAGAAAACCAAAGACAGACUACAAUAAGUUACUUCUUCAACCCACCAUAGAAGUACAGAAAAAUCAGCCAAGGUCUCCCACCAGCAAAGCCCAUGCCAGUAGCAGUACCUCUCAACAGUGCCCGAAAUGGUUUCAUGCAGAUACAGGAUUGAACUGCUGGUCCAAAGAGGUAUAAGAAUACUCUACACUUUCUCUAACUUCACUGACCUUGGUCCCUUACUAGGAAGAGAUGGAGAAAGGAAGAAGGCUGACUCCCAGAUGCUUACUGCUUGUUUACUUCAAACUUACACUGGAAAUUCACAGUUACUUGGUAAUAUUGACAUCUUUGGGGAGAGAGAGAAAGGGAAAGAGGGAAACAAAGAGGGGAGAGACAGACAGAGACGGAGAAGGCAAAGAGAAGAGAGAGGAAGGGACAAGAAGAGGGGGAGAGAGGCAAAAAGAGGAGGAAGAAAGGGAGGGAGGGAGAGACAGAGACAGAGAGAAGGAAACAGAGACAGAAAGAGAAACAAAGAGACAAAGACAGAGCUGGCAGGAACUAUCACCCUUGUUCUGACUCACUUAAAAAUAGAAUAUGAGUUGGAAAGGAACUCAAGAGCCAUGUAGCCCAACCCAUACCCAAAACAAACCCCACUAUAACAUAAGAAAUAAGUGGUUAUUGUGCAUCUGCUUGAAACCCCACCAGGAGAAAUACCCCAAACUCAGACAAGGCAGCCCAUCCCACUUUUGUACAGCUCUCAUGGUGAGGAAGAUUUUCCUUCCAUCAACACUAAUCUAGAUUCUGCAGCUUCUCCCCAUCACUCCAGGUUCUACCUUCUGGGGUCCAACAAAAGAAAUCUAACCCCUUCUCCUUGUGACAACCCUUCAAGUACUUGAAAAUUAAUACCAUACUGCCUCCUCCCAAAUUUUCUCUUUUCCAAGUCACACAUCUCCAUUUCCUACCAAUCUUUGGAAGAUGCUGGCUUUCCCCCAUAUUACUUUUUUGCAUUUUCUCUGUGGAAACAAGCUGAAAUAGAGAUCCUCAGUAAAGAGCUCAUUUCUAUUAAGUUUGGGGGUGGGGAGGGUGUGACUGAAGUGUUGAGUACACAUGCAGAAUCUGGUUGAAAUCUUAGAGGACUGAUUCCCCUAUAACAAUGUCUCUUCAUUAUACACAAAAUGGGAGACCUGGCAAAAACUUGGUCCAAAUUCUACAAGUCAAAAAUGGGGAAUUCCUUUUGUCCAUAAGUGUGCAGAGAGUUGUUGUGAUUUCUGGACUGGUCGCUUGAGAUCCCUUUGUUGCCUGGAGUCUCCAAACUCCUUGGAAAUAGGUAGGACCUAGAAAUUAGAGCCAGAUUUCCUAGAUACCCAACCAGAUUCUAUAGAAGUAGAUGUCUUCCAUGUCACCCAUUUCAUCUUUUUCUCUAGAAUAAAACAAAAUGAGCCAGGUGCUACA